GCAGGAGUAGUUCAGUGGUAGAACAUCUCGUUGCCAACGAGAAGGUCGCGGGUUCGAUCCCCGUCUCCUGCUCAA
rnacentral:tRNA from 1 species